AGCUUCGAGAUCGUCGACAACGAUGAGGACGUUGUCCAUCCGUUUAAGUGUCAUGUCCCUCCCCAGGUUCACUGCUGAUGCCCGUACUUGUCGCACGUGGCGUAUAAGUUGGUAUUAGACACUUAAUUCUUCAGUAA
rnacentral:misc_RNA from 1 species